rnacentral:rRNA from 1 species
GACGAACGCUGGCGGCGUGCUUAACACAUGCAAGUCGAACGGAAAGGCCCUGCUUUUGUGGGGUGCUCGAGUGGCGAACGGGUGAGUAACACGUGAGUAACCUGCCCUUGACUUUGGGAUAACUUCAGGAAACUGGGGCUAAUACCGGAUAGGAGCUCCUGCUGCAUGGUGGGGGUUGGAAAGUUUCGGCGGUUGGGGAUGGACUCGCGGCUUAUCAGCUUGUUGGUGGGGUAGUGGCUUACCAAGGCUUUGACGGGUAGCCGGCCUGCGAGGGUGACCGGCCACAUUGGGACUGAGAUACGGCCCAGACUCCUACGCGAGGCAGCAGUGGGGAAUAUUGCACAAUGCGCGGAAGCCUGAUGCAGCAACGCCGCGUGCGGGAUGACGGCCUUCGGGUUGUAAACCGCUUUCGCCUGUGACGAAGCGUGAGUGACGGUAAUGGGUAAAGAAGCACCGGCUAACUCCGUG